GCCAGACUCCUACGGGAGGCAGCAGUGGGGAAUAUUGCACAAUGGGGGGAACCCUGGUGCAGCGACGCCGCGUGGGUGAAGAAGCGCCUCGGCGCGUAAAGCCCUGUCAGCAGGGAAGAAAAUGACGGUACCUGAAGAAGAAGCCCCGGCUAACUACGUGCCAGCAGCCGCGGUAAUACGUAGGGGGCAAGCGUUAUCCGGAUUUACUGGGUGUAAAGGGGGCGCAGACGGCGAUGCAAGCCAGGGGUGAAAGCCCGGGGCCCAACCCCGGGACUGCUCUUGGAACUGCGUGGCUGGAGUGCAGGAGGGGCAGGCGGAAUCCCUAGUGUAGCGGUGAAAUGCGUAGAUAUUAGGAGGAACACCAGUGGCGAAGGCGGCCUGCUGGACGAUGACUGACGUUGAGGCUCGAAAGCGUGGGGAGCAAACAGGAUUAGAUACCCCGGUA
rnacentral:rRNA from 1 species